GGUGCCGUUCGUUAGCUGAGGCUCCUUCGCGGAAACAUGCCAGCGACCCCCAACGUCGAGAGACGCCCCGGGUCAGGACAGGCCGCCCCGGCAUUAAGGGGUGGUCCCGAUUGGCUCCUGGACACAGUCCGGGUUCACGCCGCGAAGUGCCAAAGGUCUUACGAGGAGGGGCAUG
rnacentral:sRNA from 2 species